rnacentral:rRNA from 1 species
GCAGUCGAGGGGUAUAGUUCUUCGGAACUAGAGACCGGCGCACGGGUGCGUAACGCGUAUGCAAUCUACCUUUUACAGAGGGAUAGCCCAGAGAAAUUUGGAUUAAUACCUCAUAGUAUGUGAGAAUCGCAUGGUUUUCACAUUAAAGUUCCAACGGUAAAAGAUGAGCAUGCGUCCCAUUAGCUAGAUGGUAAGGUAACGGCUUACCAUGGCGACGAUGGGUAGGGGUCCUGAGAGGGAGAUCCCCCACACUGGUACUGAGACACGGACCAGACUCCUACGGGAGGCAGCAGUGAGGAAUAUUGGACAAUGGGCGCAAGCCUGAUCCAGCCAUGCCGCGUGCAGGAUGACGGUCCUAUGGAUUGUAAACUGCUUUUGUACAGGAAGAAACACUCCCUCGUGAGGGAGCUUGACGGUACUGUAAGAAUAAGGAUCGGCUAACUCCGUGCCAGCAGCCGCGGUAAUACGGAGGAUCCAAGCGUUAUCCGGAAUCAUUGGGUUUAAAGGGUCCGUAGGCGGUUUAAUAAGUCAGUGGUGAAAGCCCAUCGCUCAACGGUGGAACGGCCAUUGAUACUGUUAAACUUGAAUUAUUAGGAAGUAACUAGAAUAUGUAGUGUAGCGGUGAAAUGCUUAGAGAUUACAUGGAAUACCAAUUGCGAAGGCAGGUUACUACUAAUGGAUUGACGCUGAUGGACGAAAGCGUGGGUAGCGAACAGGAUUAGAUACCCUGGUAGUCCACGCCGUAAACGAUGGAUACUAGCUG